rnacentral:lncRNA from 1 species
UUAAAAGCAAUUAAAGAAAUAAGAAGAAAAAUCUUGAGUUAUUGUGCGUCCUCAAUCCUCAUGGACUACCUACAAGUAAACCAUCCAUGUAUAAGCAUUAAGUUCCAUGAUAUUUAAAUUAUUUGUAUCACAAGUUUAACAAAUACAUACCGAGAUGAAUGGAUAGGGCUAUGAGAUGGAUGCACCAAUAUAAUCUUGAAUUGUAGAAAAUAAACCAUAUGGUCUUACCAAGUUUUCAUCUUUUUUAUUGCUCUGGACCCUUCAUCUUGCUACAACCUCGGUAGAGUUUAGAAUGCUUUUGAGGAAAACUUUAUUUCCGACCUAGAUUUUAGUUUUCAACAAUUAUUUAUUAAACUCUAGUCAUAAUAGUGCAAAAAAUCAUUUUAUAAAAAAAAUAAUAAAGUUUUACACUAACAGGCUAACAAUUUUAUGGAAAAACCAAGGAAAAUUGGUUUUUAAUAAUCUCACGUUUACAAUCUUGUACACAAUAAUCCCAUCUUUACUCUUGGUACACAAUAAACCCACCUUUACUCUUGGUACAUAAUAAUCCCACCUUUACUCUUGAGAUUAUUAAAAACCAAUUAUGAAAAAAAUAAACAUCGAUAGACAUAGCAG